GGUCCGCUGGCUCAAUGGCAGAGCGUCUGACUACGAAUCAGGAGGUUCCAGGUUCGACCCCUGGUGGAUCG
rnacentral:tRNA from 1 species